ensembl:misc_RNA Metazoa_SRP Metazoan signal recognition particle RNA
GCUGGGCGUGGUGGUGGGGGCCUGUAAUCCCAGCUACUUGGGAGGCUGAGGCAGGAGAAUCGCUUGAACCCAGGAGGCUGAGGCUGCAGUGAGCAGAGAUUGCACCACUGUGCUCCAGCCUGGGCAAUAGAGCGAGACUCUGUCUCAU